UCGCGUUUUACCUCACUUGACGCGUUUUACACGUCUCUUGAAAAACAUUAUGAUACUAUCAACACAGCACUUGCAUCUAAAUGUAAUAUGAACGGUGAGCUGCGUGAACAUGCUAGGACGGCUUUGGGUGAGUUAAAAUCUCUUAUAAUUAAAAAUUUUGAAAGAUUACAAUCUGCUAAUUAUCGCGAAGCUUGUG